rnacentral:rRNA from 1 species
CACGUACUGUGCGAACGUUAUUCGGAAUCACUGGGCUUAAAGGGUGCGUAGGCGGCAAUUCAAGUCAGAUGUGAAAUGCCUGAGCUCAACUGAGGCAUUGCGUUUGAAACUGAAUCGCUAGAGUAUCCCAGGGGUGUGCGGAACUGCCAGUGGAACGGUGAAAUGUGUUGAUAUUGGCAGGAACACCGGAGGCGAAAGCGGCACACUGGGGGAUAACUGACGCUGAGGCACGAAAGCCAAGGGAGCGAACGGG